GUCAGUUAUGACACGUCACUGGCUUUAAAAUAUAAACCCCAUUGAUGCAAAAAGAUGCUGCAUGGAAUGACAAUGAGGUUUGGAACAGACUUGGUGAAGAAGAUGGAAACAUCUCUAAAUAAAAUGGCCCCAACCAUCAUCAGGAGUGCAAAAGAAUGAAGUAAAAAACAUCUCUACGCCAAUCUCAUUGGAACAGCAGCGGAAACCACAGAAGGUCUGGAGAGGAAUGCUGCACUUAUGUUAUUGCAAGCAUUAUUUUAAGAAAAUCCCAGCUUCCUUUACUGUGUAAAUAGUGAACCCAAAGGUCCCACACCAACCAUAGUGUUCAACGGCUCUCCUGAUCCUCUCAAAGCUGAAAGUAUCAACUUUAUAAUGGACAAUGUGAACAUAAUAUGUGGAAGACAUUGACAUCACAGGCUGUGGAAUGACUGAUUGCGGGGGUUUUUCUCUUCAAUGUUCAAUACCCUUUUGCCAUUAAGCACACAGUGACUUUAAUUUAUAAAAUGUAUGCUUAAAUUUAAAUACCUGUACAAAACAAAUGUACAAUCAACUUGUGUAAAUUGUCAUUCUAUUUAAUAGAUUGUUCAUGAAUUGUCUUUAAAUGCAUUGUGAUUUCUUUUCAUCAUUUCAGACACAUGUAAAAGUUACUAAAAAUUAGUACUGCAUAUACUGUACAGUAUCUUUGUUUAUAAAAACAGAAAAUGCGUAAGGGAAAUAACUUGAACAAAAUUUUUGAAUGAAUAGUGUAAUUAAGAGUUUAGCUGUUUAAUACAGAGAUG